UACGUAGGGCGCGAGCGUUGUCCGGAAUUAUUGGGCGUAAAGAGCUCGUAGGUGGCUUGUCGCGUCUGCCGUGAAAGCCCGUGGCUUAACUACGGGUCUGCGGUGGAUACGGGCAGGCUAGAGGCUGGUAGGGGCAAGCGGAAUUCCUGGUGUAGCGGUGAAAUGCGCAGAUAUCAGGAGGAACACCGGUGGCGAAGGCGGGUCUCUGGGCCGGAACUGACGCUGAGGAGCGAAAGCGUGGGGAGCGAACAGG
rnacentral:rRNA from 1 species